rnacentral:rRNA from 1 species
GUGCCAGCCGCCGCGGUAAUACAGAGGUGGCAAGCGUUGUUCGGAAUUACUGGGCGUAAAGGGCGCGUAGGCGGCCUCUUUAGUCAGACGUGAAAUCCCCCGGCUUAACCUGGGAACUGCGUCUGAUACUGGGAGGCUAGAGUUCGGGAGAGGGAUGUAGAAUUCCAGGUGUAGCGGUGAAAUGCGUAGAUAUCUGGAGGAAUACCGGUGGCGAAGGCGGCAUCCUGGACCGAAACUGACGCUGAUGCGCGAAAGCUAGGGGAGCAAACGGGAUUAGAAACCCUGGUAGUCC